UCAGCUGGCAGGGCCAGGCAGCCUGUUGCCAUCUUUGCUUCGUCCACAGGUGUUCGCGGUUGGCUGGUGGGCGGAGUAGGCGCACCUGCAGCUCGUCAGCAGCACCGGAGCUGCACUAUAAGAUCUGCACUCGGACAGCGGGUGGAGGCCUGAGUGUUACCGUUGUGGUACCUCCUCGUGCUCCUUCGUCCUCCUUCGAGCUCCUCAGUCCUUCUCGUGUUGCCUCUUGGGAUUUCCCCGUUCAUCUCGAGUGGAGCCUUGCUUCUCGGACGGGACGCACUCCCGACGACUCCCAGGUUCCAUCCGCUGUCCUGAAUCCUCCGGUGCUGCUCGGACCUCUCGCCCCGCUCUCAGCCGCCCGGACACCUACGACCAACAUUCAGCUGAGUCCACACUGCCGUCCUCCCCGGUCGGGUUACUUGCACCUCGUGGUAAGCUUACGUUCCCCUGAAUACUUUCCUUGGGGCUUUCCCUUCCCAGAAUUAACGUUCUCCCCUUACCUCUAGAUCGACCUGGUCCCCGCCGCCCGAGUUCCUGCCCGAGUAUCUUCCAGCCCGCAGAUUAGCUUCGCCGCCUAGCAUUCUCGCCUGUGUAAACAAUAAACCUUUUAAACUUA